rnacentral:rRNA from 1 species
CCCUUAGAUGUUCUGGGCCGCACACGCGCUACACUGAAGGAGGCAGCGUGUACUCCUGGAUCGAAAGAUUUGGGUAACCCGCGAAUCUCCUUCGUGCUAGGGAUUGAGGUUUGCAAUUAUCCUUCAUGAACGAGGAAUUCCCAGUAAGUGCAAGUCAUAAGCUUGCGCUGACUACGUCCCUGCCCUUUGUACACACCGCCCGUCGCUACUACCGAUUGAAUGAUUUAGUGAGAACUUCGGACUGGGACCGAUGCGGCUUUCGGGCUGCGUCGGUAUUCUGGAAAGAUGUCCAAACUGUAUCAUUUAGAGGAAGUAAAAGUCGUAACA